rnacentral:lncRNA from 1 species
ACAGCAACAAGUCAUAAGACAGAUAGACAAUGACAAGCCUGAUCAGUAGCAGGGUGUUGGGUGCACAUUUGUCACCUGGGAAUACUACCAGCAAGCCCCAUAUUUUUUCUGCAGUAAAUGCUGGAAAGGAAAAAGAAAUGCUGAAAAUGAUGAAGUAAUUCCAAUUCUGCUGAUAGAGACCUGGAAAUGCACUAGGGAAAAAUGACAAGAGUGUAACACAUUUAUUCCUACUGCUGAUUACGUCAUAAUGAUUAUUUUAUGCUGUUUGAAGAAGACUCACUGUUCUGAAGAACUAGCAUCCAUUUCCAGGAAAGACAGAGCUGGGAUU